CAGUAACUACAGGACAGUGAGAAACCAAAUCAGUUUCAGAGACGUGCUUCUUAACAUGUUUUUGUUUUCUUUUAAACUAAGUGGGAGCCAGGCAGAGUUACUCUGUGAAGAACAAUCUCAGUUUUACAUCGUUUAAUUGAAUUCAGCACUGAAAUGUGCAUCCCCAGCGUGUGUGAUCACCACAGCACGAUAGCAAAGCUGUUGGUCAUUUAACUGGAGAUUCGCUCGUCAAAAAGACUAAGAUGGCUGUUGAAACCUUUUAUCUCUUAAAUGUUGCUCUCAGACCAAACAGUAAUUUUUGAUUUACUGCAUUAGUUUUGUGAGACUUUUGAUGAAAAGCAUGUGCUAUACUGGUAUAUUUAGACAAUCACUGAUGACGUUAGCCUGUCCCUGUAUUUAAAUCCUGUUGACACAAUAAU
rnacentral:lncRNA from 1 species